ACCAACUCGCUUGUCACUCGUUUACUCUUUAUUCCGCGUGAGAUCCUUCUCACGGAAGAGUCAAAAACUGGCCAUCCUUGGCCGGACUCUUCAAAGUUUGAAGCCGGCGCAUCGCUGCGCUGCUUCAACCCCUUCCCUGGCGGCCAUAGCGCUGUGGUCCCACCCGAUCCCAUCCCGAACUCGGAAGUGAAACGCAGCCGCGCCGAUGGUAGUGUGGCUUGUCCAUGCAAGAGUAGGUCACCGCCAGGG
rnacentral:rRNA from 1 species